AUCAUGUUCCUCGUACACUGCACCAGCACCACUGCUUCCCUUCCCAGUGAGAACCCGAUCAAGCUUUAUCAUGCAGCCCAGAAGGGUGGGGGAAAGAAAAAGAAUUAGGAGAAAAUGUUGUAAAAGUAAUGAGAUAAUAUGAGAAUGUGCUUUGGGAACUGCGAAUCUGGAGUCACUGGUCCAUGAGGAAUCUAGGAUAAGAAGAAGGAAGCUGUGAAGAAUGGUUGGCUAACAGUGCUGGCAAGGAAUUCAGAUCAACAUACCUCUCAAAAGAAUGGAAGUCUCUUAAACUCAGACAGAAUAAAGGAGGCACAGAGAAGUUAUACAAAUUGUCCUGGCACAAAAAACUGAUAAGACUUAAGCCCAGGAGUACUGGCCCAAGAAGAUAUUAGACUAUGGAAAUGAUGUUGGAGAAAAAGCAAAUUUGAGCGAUUUUCUUAUUUGAGUUCAAAAUGGGUCUUAAAGCAGUGGGGACAACUGGCAACAUAACAAUGCAUUUGGCCUGGGAACUGCUAACCAACUCUUAGUUCAAUGGCGGUUCAAGAAGUUUUGCAAAGGAGACAAUAGCCUUGAAGAUAAGGAGCAUAGUGGCCGGCCAUCAGAAGUUGACAACGACCAAUUGAGAGCAAUAUUUGAAGCUGAUCCUCUUACAACUACACGAGAAGUUGCCAAAGAACUCAGUGUCGACCUUCCUAUGGUUGUUCGGCAUUUGAAGCAAAUUGGAAAGGUGAGAAAGCUCCAUACAUGGGUGCUGCAUGAGCUGAGUGAGAAGAAAAAAAUCGUCAUUUUGAAGUUUUGUCUUCUCUUGUUCUUCACAACGGUGAACUAUCUCAUGAUUGGAUUGUGACGUACGAUGAAAAGUAGAUUUUAUAUGACAAUGGGCAAUGACCAGCUCAGUGGUUGGACUGAGAAGACACUCCAAAGCACUUCCAAAAGCCAAAUUUGCACCACAAAAAAAGGUCAUGAUCACUGUUGGGUGGUCUGCUGCCACUCCGAUCCACUACAGCUUUCUGAAUCCUGGCAAAACCAUUACAUCUGAGAAGUAUGCUCAGCAAAUAGAUGAGAUGCACUGAAAACUGCAAUGCCUGCAGCUGGCAUUGGUCAACAGAAAGGGUCCAAUUCUUCUCCCAACCGCGUGUUGCAAAACUAAUGCUUCAAAAGUUGAACGAAGUUUUGCCUCAUCUGCCAUAUUUGCCUGAUCUCUCACCAACUGAUCACCACUUUUUUAAGCAUCUCGACAGCACAACUUUUUGCAGGGAAAAUGCUUCCACAACCAGCAGGAUGCAGAAAAUGCUUUCCAAGGGUUCAUUUAAUCCUGAACCAUAGAUUGUUAGCUACAGGAAUAAACAAACUUAUUUCUCACUGGCAAAAAUUUGUUGAUUAUAAUGGUUCCUAUUUUGAUUAAUAAAGAUGUGUUUGAGCCUAGUUAUAAUGAUUUAAAA